rnacentral:rRNA from 1 species
CUUCCUACGGGACGCAGCAGUGGGGAAUAUUGCACAAUGGGGGAAACCCUGAUGCAGCGACGCCGCGUGAGUGAAGAAGUAUCUCGGUACGUAAAGCUCUAUCAGCAGGGAAGAAAAUGACGGUACCUGACUAAGAAGCCCCGGCUAACUACGUGCCAGCAGCCGCGGUAAUACGUAGGGGGCAAGCGUUAUCCGGAUUUACUGGGUGUAAAGGGAGCGUAGACGGCAUGGCAAGUCUGAAGUGAAAGCCCGGGGCUCAACCGCGGGACUGCUUUGGAAACUGUUAAGCUGGAG